rnacentral:rRNA from 1 species
UACGUAGGUGGCAAGCGUUGUCCGGAUUUAUUGGGCGUAAAGAGCUCGUAGGCGGCUUGUCGCGUCGUCCGUGAAAACUUGGGGCUCAACCCCAAGCUUGCGGUCGAUACGGGCAGGCUAGAGUUCGGUAGGGGAGACUGGAAUUCCUGGUGUAGCGGUGAAAUGCGCAGAUAUCAGGAGGAACACCGGUGGCGAAGGCGGGUCUCUGGGCCGAUACUGACGCUGAGGAGCGAAAGCGUGGGGAGCGAACAGG